UACCAGCACCCCGAGUGGUCGGGACGAUUAUUGGGCCUAAAGCAUCCGUAGCCGGUCAUGCAAGUCUUCCGUUAAAUCCAGCCGCUCCAACGGUUGGGCUGCGGAGGAUACUACGUGGCUAGGAGGCGGGAGAGGCAAGCGGUACUCAGUGGGUAGGGGUAAAAUCCUUUGAUCCAUUGAAGACCACCAGUGGCGAAGGCGGCUUGCCAGAACGCGCUCGACGGUGAGGGAUGAAAGCUGGGGGAGCAACCGG
rnacentral:rRNA from 1 species